rnacentral:rRNA from 1 species
UGGGGAAUUUUGGACAAUGGGCGCAAGCCUGAUCCAGCAAUGCCGCGUGCAGGAUGAAGGCCUUCGGGUUGUAAACUGCUUUUGUACGGAACGAAACGGUCCUUUCUAAUACAGGGGGCUAAUGACGGUACCGUAAGAAUAAGCACCGGCUAACUACGUGCCAGCAGCCGCGGUAAUACGUAGGGUGCGAGCGUUAAUCGGAAUUACUGGGCGUAAAGCGUGCGCAGGCGGUUAUGUAAGACAGAUGUGAAAUCCCCGGGCUCAACCUGGGACCUGCAUUUGUGACUGCAUAGCUAGAGUACGGUAGAGGGGGAUGGAAUUCCGCGUGUAGCAGUGAAAUGCGUAGAUAUGCGGAGGAACACCGAUGGCGAAGGCAAUCCCCUGGACCUGUACUGACGCUCAUGCACGAAAGCGUGGGGAGCAAACA